CGCUAUCUCGUGUGAAAAGUGGGAUGGAGAUCCGAGAACAUUCAUCAUGGAAUCUGUCUCCAGCACAGCAUUGCGAAUGAGCUUGGAUCUCAAUCCCACUUCUCGCAUUAGAUAGUG